rnacentral:rRNA from 1 species
GACGAACCGUGCGAACGUUGUUCGGAAUCACUGGGCUUAAAGGGCGCGUAGGCGGGUGUGCAAGUCUGCGGUGAAAGCCUCCAGCUUAACUGGAGAAGUGCCGUGGAUACUGCAUAUCUUGAGGAGGGUAGGGGCAUCUGGAACAUUGGGUGGAGCGGUGAAAUGCGUUGAUAUCCAAUGGAACUCCGGUGGCGAAGGCGAGGUGCCGGACCCUUUCUGACGCUGAGGCGCGAAAGCCAGGGGAGCAAAGCGGG